rnacentral:rRNA from 1 species
AGCCAGGUGUCUUGAUAUUUGGUGACUUCUGCCCAGUGAUUCUUUAACGGCCGCAGUACUUUGACUGUGCUAAGGUAGCAUAAUCAAUUGACUUUUAAUUGAAGUCUGGAAUGAAAGGGGACAUGGGAAAAAGCUGUCUUAAGAAAAACUUAAUGAAAUUGAUAAAAAGGUGAAAAUACCUUUAGCUUAAAAAGGGACGAGAAGACCCUUAGAGUUUUUUUGUUGGGGUGACAAAUAAACUAACUUCAUUUAUUGAAAGAAGAAACUACCUUAGGGAUAACAGCAUAAUUUUUGAGAAAGAUUGUGACCUCGAUGUUGGACUAGGAAAAUAAUAAUUAGAAAUUAAUUUUUUGUGUUCUGUUCGAACAUUUACUCCU